GACCUCGAAUCAGGUAGGAAUACCCGCUGAACUUAAGCA
rnacentral:rRNA from 1 species